rnacentral:rRNA from 1 species
UCAGGACGAACGCUGACGGCGUGCUUCAUACAUGCAAGUCGAACGAGAAUUACCUUCGGGUAAUGGAAAGUGGCGGACGGGUGAGUAAUAUGUAGAGAAUCUGCCUUCAAGCGGGGGAUAGCAGUUGGAAACGACUAUUAAUACCCCAUAUGAGCGUAACUGAAAUGUUAUUCUUGAAAACUCCGGUGCUUGGAGAUGAGUCUGCAUCUGAUUAGCUAGUUGGGGGUGUAAUGGACCACCAAGGCGACGAUCAGUAGCUGGUUUGAGAGGAUGAUCAGCCACAAUGGGACUGAGACACGGCCCAUACUCCUACGGGAGGCAGCAGUAGGGAAUUUUGCGCAAUGGGCGAAAGCCUGACGCCAGCAACGCCGCGUGAUCGAGACGCUUUUCGGAGUGUAAAGAUCUGUCACAGGGGACGAACGACGACGGUACCCUGAGAGGAAGCACCGGCUAACUCCGUGCCAGCCGCUGC